AGGUAACUGAAAGGGGAUCUUCAUGAUAGUUUUGGCGGCCUGUCAUAAAUCUCUAGGAGUUCACACCGCCUCUGACCAUCGAGUUUUGGUAUGGAUACCCCUUCAGGUGUUGUACAAUCAAAAUAGUGAUUACUAGCUUCAAGCUAUGCGGUUGUUGCAUGGUCAUUGUUUGAUCAGGGUAAAUCAUUUGUACACUCAUAAGUGUAGGCAUUAUUUUGUUAUUUUGGAGAAUGGAAUAUUUAUUGAUACUUUUCCAAAAGAAUGAACCUCUUUGAGGUUAAUACCACCCUUACAGAGAGUUUCAUUAUAGGGUUCUUCAUAUUAAAACCUUUGUGUUGUUGUAAUCUUCUGGUGGAACCUCUGAACGGUUGUAUGUAUUGAUUGGAUUGUGACUAUUUGAGGUUGAGAUUUUUGAAUUCUUAAA